CCCUUAGACGUUCUGGGCCGCACGCGCGCUACACUGACCAGUGCAACAAGCAUCCGUCCUUGGCCGACAGGCCCGGGCAAUCUUUGAACGCUGGUCGUGAUGGGGAUAGUCUUUUGCAAUUUUUGGUCUUCAACGAGGAAUUCCUAGUAAACGCAAGUCAUCAACUUGCAUUGAUUACGUCCCUGCCCUUUGUACACACCGCCCGUCGCACCUACCGAUUGAAUGGUCCGGUGAAGCCUCCGGAUUGGCGCGCACCUCGGUGCCGCCGAGAAGUUGGCUAAACCUUACCAUUUAGAGGAAGGUGAAGUCGUANCA
rnacentral:rRNA from 1 species